CUGGGCACCCAGACGUUGCAGGGGAAACGUGUGAUGGAGAAAAGCCAGCGUCUAUCCCCCCAAGAAUCCUGUGAUCAGACCGUCUGGCAACCUAGUGCACCUCUGGGUUGUGUGUCUGUCUCCGAGGUCUCGCUCUUCGCGGACGCGCCCCGAUUUUCGAGCCCUCCGUGCCAGCGCACAGGCGGGACAACACGGAAAACCGCUGGUGCAGGGUUUGCGAGUAGCUGGUUGCGUCCGCCGGGACCCGACAGACCGGCAGGUACGAGGGGCAGGUGGGGAGGCACCGGAGCCUCAGCGCAGCCCCGCCCGGCACCACCUGCCCGCUUUCAACGAAACACGUCGCCCAGGCCCAGAGAACUCCGGGACUGUCUGGGGAACGCGCCAGGCCCAUGUCGGCUGGGGCGCUCGGAGCUGGGAGAGGGCGGAGAGCCUCCAUCCAGGCCGGAGCAUCCCAGAGCCCGAGGUGCGGAGCAGCAUGGAGCGCCCGAGGCGGGCGGCGCCAGGGCCAGAGUCUACCCAGGGGAUUUCUGCCGCCUUUAUAGGCUGGAAAAAUAAAGAUCAAAAACAAACCGAA
rnacentral:lncRNA from 1 species